UGGGUUUUAGCUUAAUUAAAGUGUCUGAGUUGCAGUCAGGUGAUGCAAGUUAGAGUUUUGCAGGCCUUC
rnacentral:tRNA from 1 species